rnacentral:rRNA from 1 species
UACGGGGGGGGCAAGCGUUGUCCGGAAUCAUUGGGCGUAAAGCGCGCGUAGGCGGCCCGGUAAGUCCGCUGUGAAAGUCAAAGGCUCAACCUUUGAAUGUCAGCGGAUACUGCCGGGCUAGAGUCCGGAAGAAGCGAGUGGAACUCCUGGUGUAGCGGUGGAAUGCGCAGAUAUCAGGAGGAACACCAAUGGCGAAGGCAGCACUCUGGGACGUGACUGACGCUGAGACGCGAAAGCGUGGGGAGCAAACAGG